rnacentral:sRNA from 1 species
CUCGGCAGCUGGUACAGGACGAGAACGUGCGCGGGGUGAUCACCAUGAACGAGGAGUACGAGACGAGGUUCCUGUGCAACUCUUCACAGGAGUGGAAGAGACUAGGAGUCGAGCAGCUGCGGCUCAGCACAGUAGACAUGACUGGGAUCCCCACCUUGGACAACCUCCAGAAGGGAGUCCAAUUUGCUCUCAAGUACCAGUCGCUGGGCCAGUGUGUUUACGUGCAUUGUAAGGCUGGGCGCUCCAGGAGUGCCACUAUGGUGGCAGCAUACCUGAUUCAGGUGCACAAAUGGAGUCCAGAGGAGGCUGUAAGAGCCAUCGCCAAGAUCCGGUCAUACAUCCACAUCAGGCCUGGCCAGCUGGAUGUUCUUAAAGAGUUCCACAAGCAGAUUACUGCACGGGCAACAAAGGAUGGGACUUUUGACAUUUCAAAGACAUGAUGUAUGGGGAUUAGAAAGAACUCAAGACACUCCUGCUUGAUACAGAACAAAAAAAGCUUAACAGGACCAACAGGGCUUAAGCCCAGACUUGACGUAACAGAAAUGUGCCAAUAGGUAAUAGGUAAUUUUUCUUUCUCUGACUUGUUUUGUUUUCUUGAAAUAACACUGUUGUGUGGCUAGAAAGGAAAAGAUUUAGUGUGGCUUGUAUUCAUGGGAUACAGGACAGGGAUGGGGCUAUCGUCUUUUCUUGAAUAGGGCUAAAGAAGUAUUUUAACAAAAAUCUAUUAUGUACCUAAUAUUGUGCCUCAUAAUAUUUAGCACCACAACUCAAAAAACAUUUAGCACUUGAAAAAAGGAGACUCACCUCUGGCUCUUUGCCACUGUCAGAAUCUGAAUCUCACUGGCCCUGUGGAGUAGGGAUCCUAUCUGGAGAAGUGGGAGCAUGGGCUGCAGUCAGGACUGCUGCAGACUGAGCCAUGUGAUGGUACGUAAUGAGUUCCCCUGAGGGAAUGAAACACCCUCACCCCUUCAAAGUCACCCCUUUGGAAUUCAACACAGACACACAUAUCCCUUCAAAAACUUUUAUUUGUAUCAACAGUUCCUAGCUCUUGACUUAGCUUAGAGCUUUUAAAAGAGCAGACACCUUAUAUAUUUGAGAUUGAAAAAGUUUCUGCUAUUAAUCAGAAAUAAUCAUUUAUAUUUUCUGGCUUACCCCUUGGAAUAAGCCAAAAAUAAAACCAAAGUUACAUUUCCUGACAGAUGGAUAAGAAAACAAUAGAAGGAACAUCCUGAAUUCUAGAGUUGACUCUUGCUGGUGAAGUACACCUUCAGCUUAGUCCAUUCUCCUAAGUAAAGCCUGAAGGAAAACUCUUAACACCUAAUUCUUUGUGGAAAAAUGAUCAACUAGCCAUUUCACAGGCUAUAGAACAAAAGUACAAUUGGGCAUCUUUCCUUAUGUCCUGGCAUCAGGGGUGCUUACAUUUAACAUUGAUCAGGUAAAGAGGAGAGGCUGUGCCUAAGGUCUGAGAAAAGGCUUGCUCUAAGCAAGCUGUGGUGAGGCACAGGAUGACUAGGGAAUGGCAGAGAACAGGCUGGCCUACUGUCAGUUCAAGCAACCAGCUGAGCAGCAGCAGUCUAAAAAGCCCCAAACAGAACACCUCCAUGGAUUCAGGGAAGGGCUGAGGCACUGCCUUUCUAGUAUGUGCCAAAAAAAACAUAACUCUGAAUUGGGGCCCAGGGGACUUUGAGUUUGUAUGGGGAGGGAAAAGGAGUGAGCAGUUCUCCUCCCCUCCCCACAGCCUUAGGCCAACACAAACUGCAAAUUGGUAAGCAGCACCUUAAUACCUCUUGUGACAGUUACGGCUGAAGUGGCAGGGUCAAGCUUGUAGGUGUUGGCAUCCCCCUUUUUAUAUCGGUCCCGGAAGACAUAGAUGCUCCCGUUACAGCUGGCAAUCUUCCAGAGGGAUGGGGCAGAGCUCCAGGCCUCAGGAAGGCAAAGCCGGGUGAAGCUGUCUAGCAAGGGAUUGUAGCACACCAGGGAGUCCCCUUCAGCCACGAUGAACACCAGAUCUUUAUGCACAGCUGCGUGCAUGCGGCCUGCAAAGGGCAGCACAUAGGGCUUCACAUGGCAUUUGUCUGUCUCUGUGUCAAAGCACUGGAUGAGUCGGGAAGGUUUGGUAAAGAAGUCCAGAUCAUUCUCCUCCCCCCCUAGUAAGUAGAUGAUCCCGUUGAGGUUGGCACCAGCAGCCCCUGACACAGCCACCUCUAGCUGGGUUGUCUCUGUCCACACAUUAUCACCUACGCGAUAAUAAAUGACUGCGUUGGAGAGGGUA